CUCCAGCAUCUUGGCGCCGAUGAAACGCUCGACCAACGCGAACAUGUUGGCGUAGGUGCGGCCCUGGAUCAGGCUCAGCAGCCGUCGUUCAUCCGCGCGCAGAAAGUCGACGGCGCCUGACCUGCGACAACCGCUCGGGAAGAAACGUCUUCGAGAAAUCGAACGUCCGCCCACGAAUCACAUCGGCAUCGAUGUCCCAGCGAAUCCGUUUCGAAGCCUCGAUGCAUUUGGCAUAGCGGGCCGUGUUCUCGUUCUCUGAAGUCCAUCGGGCAACCAGCAUGUCGUGCUCCUGACCAGUUGAAAGGUUGAAAUGUUGUCCGCAGCGGCCAGCGCCGGCCGGGUUGAAACGAACGGCGCGUGUGUCCAACUUGGCGCGCGUCUGAGGUC
rnacentral:rRNA from 1 species